rnacentral:tRNA from 1 species
AGAUGCUAAAUAGAUAUUACUAUGUUUGGUUACGGUCCAAAAAGAUUUGUCAUCCUUA